AGGAGUCCAACACUAUGUCUGAAACAUCACCAUAGAACAAGAUGGAUGGAUGUUUUCAUCACAUCUAUGGAUAUUAGACCUAGAAGAAAUGCCACCCAACCUCCUCAGUUUUGUAUUUAUUUGACUGAUAAAAGAAAAACUUCAGCUGAAUUAAAUUUAAAGAAGUUUAACUGAACAACCAACGAUUCACGAAUCAAGCAGCUUUCCCAGCCAGAGUAGGCUCAGAGACUCCAGCACAGCCACAUGGGAGAAGAUUUAUGGACAGAAAAAGGAAAGUGAGGCACAGAAGCAACUAGAUUGGUUACAGGAUAAUUUGCAUCAGAGUUCAUUUUAUCUGUGUGCAUCCGAAAUAUGAUUUUGUAUUAAAA
rnacentral:lncRNA from 1 species